AUGCGCAAAUGGCUUGAGGAUUUACCGGCUUCCACUGCGUCAUCUGGUCGGUUCACCGUUGAAUCUUCCAACCGCCCCCGCCUCAAGCUCGACGUUCCACGUUUCGAUGGUGAUCUGGAAAAUGCAGUGGCUCUUCUUGACCCAGGGGGUGCCGGCGAGUCUGAAGAUGCUACUCAUGUUGUCCAAUUGAGUUUACACGCCCUCUCUGGUGCUCACGCAGCUGAUACUUUUCGGGUUGUUGGGUAUAUCGGGUAA